UACGGAAGGGGCAAGCGUUGUUCGGAAUCAUUGGGCGUAAAGGGCGCGUAGGUGGUUCUGUAUGUCUACCGUGAAAGCGUACGGCUCAACUGUAUUUUGUCGGUGGAAACUGCAGGACUUGAGGCUGGGAGGGGCUGGUGGAAUUCCCUGUGUAGCGGUGAAAUGCGCAGAUAUCGGGAGGAACACCAAUGGCGAAGGCAGCUCGCUGGGACGGUACUGACGCUGAGACGCGAAAGCGUGGGGAGCGAACAGG
rnacentral:rRNA from 1 species